CUACACCUCUUUCUUCUUCCUCUUUUCCAAACGACUUCCUCUAUGAAAGUUUAUCAGGUUUCACUCAUUCUCUCUCUAAACUUUCCACUAAGAAACUCCACUUACAUGAAGAUCAAAUUGGCGGGAUUAAUCAUCAAAUUUUUAAAUCGCGAAUUGCAAAUGGAUUCAACUGAAGCUCCGAUCCAAACGAUGAACCAAAAUUUCCAGUUGUUACUUAAGAACGAUGAAUACAUGUUCUUUUUGUGAUGUGAGUGAUUGAUUGAUUAUGUUCUUGAUGUUGUACGCAAAGAAGCUGAGAAUUGUGACUGCUUACAAGUUACUGAGGAAGAAGUGGAUCUUUUAUAUGACUUAUUCAAUAAACUCAGCAACUCUGUUGUCAAAGAUGGUUUUAUUCAAAAGGUAUAUAAUAUUCUUGAUGAUACUUAAUCUGCUUUAUAUGGUAGCAAAUGAAGAGUUGUAUGCAUUAUAUUAUUGCUAUAUCUAAGUUAUUAUUGUUUCUUUAUUCUAAUACAAUUAUUAAUUAUAAUGAUCAGAAGGAACUUCAACUUAAUUGCAUUAUUUAAGAAUAGUAUGAAGAGAAUCCUUUUUUCUGGACAGAGUAUGUGUUUUCUUUUAGUUGUUAGAUGUUGAUGUCCCAUAUUUCAUGCAAGAAUUUCCAAUCUAAGUAUGUGUUCACUUGUU